UACGUAGGGGGCUAGCGUUGUCCGGAUUAUUGGGCGUAAAGAGCGUGUAGGCGGCCAAGUAGGUCCGGUGUGAAAACUCGAGGCUUAACCUCGAGAUGUCAUCGGAAACCAUUUGGCUAGAGUCUGGAAGAGGAAAGUGGAAUUCCUGGUGUAGCGGUGAAAAUGCGCAGAUAUCAGGAAGAACACCGGUGGCGAAGGCGGGUCUCUGGGCCGAUACUGACGCUGAGGAGCGAAAGCGUGGGGAGCGAACAGG
rnacentral:rRNA from 1 species